UUGGAGUUCGUAUAGGGCCGAACACUUGUCUGUGUGGGAUUUGGUGGAAGUGAGGAAGAAGGCAACUGGGAUUGAAGGGCGGCUGUGGUGGCUUCGCCACAAAAUUGUGAAAUAAGAGACUUGAUUUUACCUGUAUAUAGGAAUUUGGUUUUGUAAUUGGAGACGGGCUUGUGAUCACCGGCAGUUCGCAAUCGGAAGUUGCGUCAGCUUUGUUUGGCGUUCAAUGGAGUUUGAUCAACACCGAACAAAGGAAAAAUGCUUGAUUGGAGGAGACCUUCAUCAAUGCCCAGAAUUGAUCCUUUAGAAGAAUAUAUUUGGAAGGAAAUUGAUGCAUGCGAUUUUUCUCAGUCGGCUUUGGUUUCAGAUCGUUUGUAUUGGCAUAGGGAGAUGCUUGUUGAUCAAGAUAUAUAUGAUGGAUUAUUUACUCGAUCACCUCGCAUGCCUUCCUUUGAUUCGGACUUACCAGUUGGACAUGACCCACAAAUUGGAUUAUUAUAUAGCAAUUGUGAUGUACAGAUGGUGCUUCUUUAGACCGUAUCAUUGAGGGACUGAAUUAUGGGGAUCAGGAUAUUAUGCAACCAGCAGCUGAUCUUGCAGAGCCUACAGGUGUUGUCAAAUUGCUCAGCUAUCAGUUGCUACAUCAUGAGAUUGAGGAGUUGCGCCAUGAUCCUAUGUUUGGUAGUCCUGUUCAAGCUUUGACUGCUUAUGUUAGGUGGGUCCAUUACACACUUCAAAUGCAUCAGGAGGUACUGAAGCAAGCGGGGGUAUAUAAAGCCAUUUAUAUUUCUUUAUUUGAUUAUAGCUGCCUUUCUUUUUCAUGGCUUCAGAGUAUUAUUGAGCAUUGGGAUAGUGCCACAAAUACUUGUUGGGUUGGACCCAAUGAGAUGAUGAUUACACUGGGAUUUAUGUACCAUUUAUGGUUUGCCAAUUUUAUAAAUUCUAUAUGAAGAGUGUAUUCCUAUUGAUUAUGAUUUGUUUAGCCGCCGACCAGCAGGGCGGCAGAGGAGAGAUGAGUUUGGUUACUUAGUGGGGCUUCACCAAAGUUUGAGGCACUACCAUAAUCUUUAUCAACAUAGGAGGCGAGGUCGUAGUCGCAGAGGAACUAUUUCAUUAGAUGUUUGGAUUGAGAGCUUUUUAGACCCAACUGCACUUGUUACAGAAUUUGAGCGGAUUCAAGAUCCUUUUGACCGGAGACCACACGAUACAGAGUAGUAUUCAAAGGAUCAUUUUGAGCCAGGCUUAGUAGAUGGAUUGAAUCAUAUUUCAGCCAGAAGAUAUUCAGAUGAUGUGCUCUUGGUGUCUUUUAUUGCUACGUGGUUCUGUUACUUUGUAUUCCCUAGCCAGAGUAGAGUCUUUCGACCCAGUACGCUUCUGACGGCUAUUUUGAUAGCGAGUGGGAGGAAGAUCUCGCUAUCCCCUACAGUUCUUGCACAGAUUUAUUAUAGUUUAGGGCAUAUUUGAGCUACAUAUGGUCGUAGUCAGAGCAGUGUUGAGAUUCCUUGGCACUACCUUUACGGAUGGAUACAUGUACAUGUUGCAUGUGCUUUUAGUUGUUCAGAGUUACCAUGUUACUUUACAGAGCGUUGCUUUCCUUCUUUGCUGCAGUUAGCCAGAGCGACAUCUUCACAGAUAGAGCUUAGAUUCGUAUGUUUAUGUUUGCACCUCUACGGAUGACUGAUCGUUACAGAUUGAUUUAUAUAUCUCCACUUGUUUCUUUACCUACGCAGUGCUUUGGUGUACCCCAAGUAGAUUCUCAGUCUGAGAAUACUCCCACUUUACUUUCCAGGUCAGGAUAUAUACCGAUUGCUUCAUAUUUUAUUAGUAUGAGACCUGGUUGGAUUUGCUAUAAACAGCAUGGUUCAGUGAUAUUGGAGGGAUAUAAUCCCAAUUGGGCAGCGAGGCAAUUUGGACUUGUUCAGGCCACACCAUUGGACUGAUUACCAGUUAUUCCUGGGAUUGUUGACACACGUCAAUUGGGCUCUCUUCCAUUUUCAGUACGUUUGGAGGCAUCUUCCAUGACUUGGGCUUUUCUACUUCGUCUUGGGACAGGUUCUCGAUUUUAUAUUCCCCAUAUGGAUGCUCCGGCAGGCAUUUCACACCUACGGUUGGCUUGGACUCAGCACACAUAUUCUUCCUUCAUCGAGAUGGGCAUUGGGUCAUAUAGUAGACAAGUUAGAAGACAAAGACCAUCAAGGUACCCUUCAGUACCUUAAGGUCAUACUACUGCACAUAAGGAGACUUCCAAACUUGAUGAUAGAAGGAGGAAGCGGAGCCCUGAGCCUACUUUUAGACAUGGUGGCCCAGGUAUGUGAUGUAUAUUAUUUUUAUAUAUGAUUUUAUUUUUCUUGCAUACUAAUAUGCAAAUAUUGCAGUUGUUAAAGAUAGAUCGAUCUCUCCUUCUACCGACAGAGGUCACCCUAGGCAUCGAUCUUCAAAUGAUGUUCCAGUAUCCAGACACAUCCCUAUUGACCUGCCAAGUUCUCCUAUUUUUGUGCCGAAUACUUUGCCUACUCCUCCAGGCUUCCCUUUUUCUAUUUUCUCAACAGACCAGAGUGCUUCUUUGAAACCAGUCCCAGGUUUUGGCAUAUAUUAUUAUUAUUAUUAUUAUUAUUAUUAUUAUUAUUAUUAUUAUUAUUAUUAUU